AGCGUUGCUCGGAAUCACUGGGCGUAAAGCGCACGUAGGCGGCUUUUUAAGUCAGGGGUGAAAUCCUGGAGCUCAACUCCAGAACUGCCUUUGAUACUGAGAAGCUUGAGUCCGGGAGAGGUGAGUGGAACUGCGAGUGUAGAGGUGAAAUUCGUAGAUAUUCGCAAGAACACCAGUGGCGAAGGCGGCUCACUGGCCCGGUACUGACGCUGAGGUGCGAAAGCGUGGGGAGCAAACAGG
rnacentral:rRNA from 1 species